ensembl:lncRNA
GAGCGAGUGUGUUGGUGUGUGUGCAUGGCAGGAUUGGAUGUGUUAAGUAUGUGACUAGAAUGUGUUCACACUAUACAUCGGCAUCGCUUGGUGAAACAUCGGAAGCCAUUCACUUUCAAUGGAAGGAAAGUAAGAGAAGAGAAGUGGAGUGGGUGGGGAACCGUUGAGCGAUGCGAGGAUGGGCGAGGGAGCUGAACAAGGCCCACCGCUCCUCUCUGUGUCGUUGAUGGCCAUCCGGCGUACACGGUGAGACACCUGAGUUCGACCACGGGGCAGGGGUCUCCAGUACCUGGUUGACUGGGAGGGUUAUGGCCCGGCGGAGAGGUGCUGGAUCCCCGCUAGAGACAUCCUAGACGACUUCCACCGCCUGCACACUGGUCUAUCAGGUGUGUGCCCAGGUGUCGCCCAUCGUUCUGUCUUUUGCCAGUUGGUCUUGUUUGCCCUGUCAGCUCCUGUCUUUUCCCAGCCUCUCUUUUUCUCACCCUCCUGGUUUUUGACCCUUGCCUCUCCUGACCCUGACCCCGCCCACCUGACCACUCUGCCUGCCCCUGAGCCUGCCUACCGUCCUGUACCUUUGCCCCUAUCUGGAUUUCCGACCUCUGUCUCAUCUAAGCCUGCCUGAAGUCCUGUACCUUUGCCUCUGUUGCUGUAAUAAACAUUGUUACUUCGACAAGGUCUGCAUCUGGGUCUUACCUUAUCCUAAUAAAGGCGAGAUUGAACGUUCCUGAGUGGCCUAGUUAGUUUUGACGUAAAUCAGAUUGAAAAUCUAUUGCAAGACUUGAAAAUGGC